CACAACCAAGUGAGCACUGGAAACCUGGUCAUAGGAAAUGAAACAGACUGCUGUUUUCAUGAGUGACCUGUUCUCGAGCCUAAGAAUCUCUUGGGCCACCCAGCCCCACAGAGGCCAGUAGGAGGUCAACUCUCCACCUCCCUAAAAAAAAAAAAAACGAGUGUGCGAGAAGUAUGUUGUAAUUGAAGUAGCAUACUGCCUGACACCCAAGAGGUUGCUCUGUAAGUGAAUUGCCUUUCACCUCCUGCCAUGAUUCUGAGGCCCCCAGCCAUGUGGAACUGGAGAAGGGAGAUGAAAUAAUACCAGCAUCCUGAACCUGAAUGUCCAGCUUCGCCUUGUUCUUUGUGGAUUAUAAGACCAUUGAUUAAAUAAAUCCUUUCAUCAAAAUUAUCUUAAAAAAGAAACUACCAUCUAAAUCCAGUUAUUCCAUCUGACUUGGUAGCAGUGAUGUUUGGAGUUUAGGACCUAAAGGUGAAAUGGGGAAAAUCUGGGUGCUCGGAAAGACACCAGAAGCACACAGAAGAAGAUCAUAUGAAGACACAACAAGAAGGUGACUAGCUGCAAGCCAAGAAGAGAAGCCUCAGAAGAAAUCAAACGUACUAGCACCUUGAUCUUGGAAUUCCAGUCUCCAAAGCUGCGAGAAAAUAAAAUUCUGUUGCUUAAGCUGCCAAGACUAUGGUAUUUUCUUAUGGCAAUCUUAGCAAAAUAACCCUAUUAGCAAACAAAUGCAUACAAAAUCUCUGUAAAUACAGCAGGUUUCCUUUUUAAAAAAACUCUUUAUUUUGAAAAAUUAUAGUUCUACAACAAAUAAUAAAAAAGAUAUACAGGAUGGUCCUAUUUACUCUUGACUCAGUUUCCCUUAUAGUAACAUCUUAUAUAACUACUAGGAAAAUGAUGUUGAUACAUUCCACAUAUCUUGUUAAAAUUUAACCAGUUUUACAUGUAUUAGUUUGUUCUAUGCAAUUUUCUUGCAUGUGUAGACCCAUGUUACCACUACCAUAGAGAAAAUCCAGAAUCAUUCCAUCACCAGAGGCUCCUUCAUGCUGUCUCUUUAUACUCAUUCUUACCUCUUUCUCUAGCUCAUCCCUAACCCCUCACAACCAUUAAUCUGUUCUCCAUCUCUACAACCCUGUUAUUUCAAGAAUGCCAUAUAAUGAGAAUCAAAAUUAAGUGAACUUUUGGGACUAUUUUCACUCAGAAUAAUUCUCUUGAAAUUCAGCCAAGUUAUUGUGUGCAACAAUAACUCAUUCCUUCUUAUUGCGGAGUAGUAGUCCAUGAUAUGGAUGCACUACAGGUUCCUUAACCACUUACUAGGAUAUUACAGUUGUUUACAGUUUGAAGCUAUUAUGACUAAAGCUGACGCUCACAUUUAUAUAUAAGUUUUUAUACAGAAAUAUGUCUCCAUUUCUCUGGAAAAAAAAUCCCAAGGGUACAAUUGCCGAGUCAAAUGUUAAGUGAAUGUUUACUUUAAAAGUGUUAUAUUGUUUUUUAGAGUGGGUGUACCAUUUUACAUUACCAUCAGCAAUGUAUAAGAGGUCCUGUUUCUCAGUAUCAGGCAAUAGAUAAUGUAUGUGCCAUGUAUACGUUUCCAGAACAUGAAAGUAUAGGAAUCUUCUUUUAUUUUAUUAUGUUAGCAUACCCUUCACACUCAAACCUAGCUGUGUGCUGAAAAGGUGAUUCUCUGGAAUUUAAGGAACUUAAAACCCCUGAUUUAUAGCAACUGCAUAUUUUCCAGUUGUGGCUAUUUCCCACCGUGGUUUUCAAACUACCCACAUGACUUAAUUGAAAGUGAAUUAAGGAAAAAAAUACUCACAAGUAGUUCUCACACAGUUCUCACUGGCACAAGCCAGUUCCAGCACACUGCUGCACAUACACAAACAUAUGCACACAUGCAUACACACAUAUAUACACACAUGCAUAUUCACAGACACAUAAAAACACAGAUGCAUAGAGACACCAGAUUUAUCUCCUUCAUUCGUACAGAUGGACCAUUAAAUAAGAUGACAAGAUGAAUUUAAUAGCAUGACAUAAUCAAAUAUAGAGACAGAUAUAAAAUACAUAGAGUAUGAAACUAUGAAACAAUUUUGGAAAUAAAAGUGUAUAUUAAUGUGCAAAUAUAUGUAUAGAAUAUGAGACUGAAAACACCAAAAUGUUGAUACUGUUUAUUUCUGGGUAGUUGGAUGACAAGUGAAUUUAGUUUUUCUGAUUGUGCUUUUCUUUAUCUUUAAGGAACAUGUUUUCUUUUAAUCAGAAAGAAAUAAUUACAUAUAUAUGUAAUUAACAUAUAUUGUAUAAUAUAUAUCACAUAUAUUCCACAUAUAUGGAAUAUAUAUUGUGUUUUAAAGUUUAAAAUGUGAGGAGACCACGUCAAUGAGGAACUUGGAACCAAGUAAAACAUGGAUGGAUAUGUGACAAUAUUGUGGAAUAGAGUGAAAAUUCAGCUCAGAAAUAGUGAAGCUUAUUUUAAAUGGAAACUAAAAUAAGAUCAUGUGGAUUAAAUUAGAGAUAUUUCCAGGAGAAGAUAUGUUUGAGCAUAACUUUCCUCUCCUCCCUAUCUGAGGAAAAUUCUGGAAGAGACUUCAUACGUAUCUAUAUUUGUAUCUAUGUCAGAAAAGGAGAGAAGUAAGGCCUGGGAGGCAGCUUGCUGUUGUGAAAGGAAAAUGAAGUCAGAUGAUCCUUAAUUUGGAUACUCUUUCUUACCAUUUGGGGCAAGUUACUUCCUCAAAGCCUCAAUUUCUUCUUCUCUAGCAUGAGAUUAAUAUUUGUGAUUCAUCAGAAGGUUAAACAAAGCAAUUUUUACAAAGUAAAAAGCAAAUUUUACAAAGAAGGCUUUCAUUUUGUUCUGUCCUAUUUUAUUCUAAAUUAUGGUAUGUUACCCAAAUCCCAGUGGGAGCUUUUGUGAGUGAAUGACAUUAAAAAAUUACUGGAACAGGAAAUAUUUCCCUUUAAUGAACUAGAUGAGAUUUUUUAAAAAAAAACCACUAAUUAUGUAUUUUACAUUAUGGAAACAGAGAUUAUAUAAUGAUAAAAAGAUGUGUAUUAUAUUUUAAAAAAUAGUUACAAAAAGUAAAUCUUUUGUUUUCAUGUGAUCCAUUCAUUUGUCCAUUAUUCAACAGAUAUUUAUACAAUACUAAUUCAGUGAAAACCAGCAUUAGCUUAGGAGAAAGUAUUAGGAAGUACAAGAUUAAUGACAUCUGGGACCAAGAAAUUUUCAGUAAAAUCAAUGAAUGGCAUUUUGCUUAUUUCGGAACAGCAAAAUAGAAAUAGUCAAUACUAUAGUCUCUGCAUCUAGUCCUUCUGUGUGAAUAUGUAUCUAGAGGCUUAUGCAAAAUAAUGCCUAAGGUUAGGACAAGCACUUUUAUUCAGCUGAUAAUAAAAUAUAUAAAGUGUACAAUGAAUAUCCAAAUGUAUAAUAAUCUAAUCCAGAAUUACUCAAUCUAUGAAUUAUUAAGAUAUGGUAAGGACAAGAUUAAAACUAUGUUUUUCUGCCUGGCUGUCUUUAAACUAUUGUUACAUGGCAACCCUUUAACAACCCAGUAGUUAGCCAUGAUCAUUGUAUUAGGCUGCUUGGGUUGCUGUAACAAAAUGUUAAUACCAUAGACUGGGUGGCUUAAAUAACAGACCUUUAUUUCUCACAGUUCUGGAGGUUGGGAAGUCCAAGAUCAAGGUGCUGGCCAAUUCUGUUCCUGCCUCUCUUUUCUGGCUUAUAUAUUUCUGCCUUUUUGCCGUGUCCUUGCAAGGCAGAGAAAUAUCUUCUCCUACUCCAAUUCUUCCUUCUACUCCUUCUUUUUCUUCAUAAGCCACUAAUCCUAUCAUGACAGCCCUAUUCUCAUUACCUCAUUCAACCUUAAUUAUCUCCCAAAGGGCCCACAUCCAAAUACCGUCAUAUUGAGGGUUAAGGCUUCAACAUCUGAGUUUUGGGGGAGACACAAUUUGGUCCAGAGCAACCAUCAUUUUGCUAAUGCCAUCUGGCUUGUGAAAUAUUAAUAGCAAGUCUAAGACUUUUCUCAAUAUUCAAAGAGGAAGGCUCAAAGAGAUUUUGAUAGUUUUUGGUUGUUUGUGAAUAUAUACAAGCUGAAUAGAAGUUUCAGUGUAAGGAUGGUAUCACACCCUUUCUCACCACCUACUCCCAAAUUUUGAAAGCCAUUACUUGAGAAAUAGACAUCCUCUUGGUGUUGUCAAUGUUCCUGAAUACACAAUAAUUGUUAAUACAUUUUGCAAAGAGAAUAUGCACCGUUGAAAGGGAAUAUUACUUAUUCAUUCAUUCAAAAAAUUAUUGAGCGCUGCUAUUUUCCAAGCACUUUUCUGAAUGCUAAGAAUAUAGGAAUAAUCAAAAGAGAAAAAGUCUCUUCUCUCAAAGAGCAUAUUGCCUUGUGUUGGAGGCAAACCAUAAUUAAACAGACAAGUGAAUAUCUAGUUUGUCAGAUAAUGAUUAGUCCUAUGGAGAAGUAUAAAGCAGGAUACAGGAAAUGGGGAGGGCUGGUAGGUGGGGAGAAGAGUGGUUAUUUUAUGUAGGUAAACAGGGAACCUGAAGUAAAUAAGGGAGUGAGCCAUGCUGAUGUCAGGAGAAAAGUUUCAGAAGGUGAGGAGAACAAAUGCAGAGGCCACAAGGUGAGAGAAUGCUUAGGUGUAUGAAAGACAGCAAGGAGCCCAGUGUAUAUAGACCAACUGAACCAGAGGAAGAAUCAUAGGAGGUGAGAACGGUAAUGUAGGGGAAGAUUACGCUAAACCCUGUAUGUUAUUGUAAGAAUUUUAGCUUUUGCUGGGAGUGAGAUAGGCUACUGAAGGUUUAUGAGCAGAGGAAUCUUAUCAGAUUUAGGUUUUAAAAGUGAAAUGUGUUGGUUGUAGAAACAGCUGACUUUAGAUGGAUAAGGCAGAAAAAGUGAGAUUAAUUGCAAGAUCGUUGCAAUAAUCUAGGAGUUAAAUGGAGGUUGAAUGAAUAAGGGAGAAUGGAAGGGUGAGUGAGAAGGAAUCAGGUUUUAGAUACAUUUAGAAGAAAGAGCUAGAGCCAGCUGACAGCAUUUGCUAAUGGAUUGCAUAUGAAAGAAAGAAGUCAAGGAUAAUCCAAGUUAUUUGGUAUGAACAACGGAGAAACGAAGUUGCCAUUUGUAAAAUAAGUAAGGCUGAGGAAGGAGCAGGUUUGGGGAAAAUGGGAAAUUGAAGUCAAUUCCAGAUCAGUUAUGUUUGAGAAGCCAAUUAGAUACACACAAGGAAAUUCUGAGGAAGGAGUUAGUAUUAUUAAUUUCACUUUAGGAGAGAGAUAUGGGAUUGAGUUUGACGGUGAGUAGUUGUCACUUACAGAUGAUACAUCAAAUCACGUGACAGGAUGAGAUCCUAGAAAGUGAAUGCAAUUACAAAAGGAAUGAGGUCCGAGAAAACCUACUUGGGGCAUUCUAAAGUCAGUGGUCUGAGCGGUCAGAAGGAAUUUACAAAGGAACUGAGAAGAAGAGCCAAUGAGAAAGGGAACUUCUUUUUUUUCACAGUGAGUGCUUGUGAACUUUAAAGGAAUGUGUGAUGAGGAGACUUUUUUUUUAAAUAACUGGAAUUAUAUCUUUCUUUUCUAAUGGUCUAGUAGGAAAAACUGUUUCCUUUAGGGGAGAGGGCAAUUGCUGGAGUAAUAUCCUUAAGUAAUAUCACAAUUUAUUUAUAGUAACAGGAGAGAAUGUCAGGUAUUCAGGUGCAUAGGCAGAUAGAUUGGUACAUGUGGUUGUGGGAGCAUGAGGAACUUCUCUCUUCUUUCUUUUUAAUUCUCACUGACGCAGGAAGUAGACUCCUUGCUGGCAUGACUAUGAAGGCAGAAGAUUAAAGGUUUUUUUCUUUUUUUAAUUUAAAAUUUUUAAUUUUUGUGAGUACAUGGAAGAUUAAAAUUUGAAGAAGACAGCUUAGAAAUCUGGGAAAAUAGACCAUCCUGGCUAACACAGUGAAACCCCUUCUGUACUAAAAAUGCAAACAAUUAGCUGGGUGUGGUGGCGGGCGCCUGUAGUCG
rnacentral:lncRNA from 1 species